rnacentral:tRNA from 1 species
GGGGCCGUAGUUCAGUUGGGAGAACGCCUGCAUGGCAUGCAGGAGGUCAGGGGUUUGAGUCCCCUCGGCUCCA